UGUCGCAGGAAAAGUACUUGUCAUGGAAUAGUUACGUAAAGACAUGAAGAUGUGGGCGGACCUGAGAGAAAUGCUCCAGAGGUAAUUUCAAUCAUUAUCGCACUAUAUUGGCAACUUUCAUUCAUUUCCUAAUAUCAAGUAAUUAAUAAAUUAUUCAUUUUCUUUGUCGGGCGGGGUUUGGAAAGAGUUCACCAAGCAGGUUAGGGGUGAAUGGAGAGAGGAGCUGCGAUUUAAACAACUCAGUUGCUCGAGGCAGGGAUCUGGAAAUAACUUAUGUGGAUACUAUGUUUGCGAGUUCAUUCGCGUGACGACCUCUGAGGCGGACAGCUUGUUUGAAAAACUUGAAAUUGAACGAAAGCGGGAUGAACUCCUACCAAAGGCUCGCAUACGAGCAAUACAAGAGGAAUUGGUGGGAUUCUUCCUUGAAGAGAUCAUUGCUAAAACCGGAGAAUACCAUUGAGAAUUGGUAGUGAAUGUUGGUAAUUAGAUAUUGGGAUAGUAAGAGAUGUUACAUUGUAUAUAUGCAUGAACGUGCACUAUACGUAGUAGCGUCGAAUAGAUAUAGGAAAACUUGUUGUUCGACCAAGCAUGGAAAAAGAGAGGUCACUUCUCUCUAUAUUCAUGAAGAUUUGUGUAAUGGUUCCUUCAUUGCUAUAUGUAGUAGUUAGCGUCGAGUUGA